rnacentral:sRNA from 1 species
UCCACCGCCUCGGCCUCGGCCAAGAAGAUAAUCGUCAAGCACGUGACGGUCAUCGGCGGCGGGCUGAUGGGCGCCGGCAUUGCCCAGGUUGCUGCAGCAACUGGUCACACAGUAGUGUUGGUAGACCAGACAGAGGACAUCCUGGCAAAAUCCAAAAAGGGAAUUGAGGAAAGCCUUAGGAAAGUGGCAAAGAAGAAGUUUGCAGAAAACCCUAAGGCCGGCGAUGAAUUUGUGGAGAAGACCCUGAGCACCAUAGUGACCAGCACGGAUGCAGCCUCCGUUGUCCACAGCACAGACUUGGUGGUGGAAGCCAUCGUGGAGAAUCUGAAGGUGAAAAACGAGCUCUUCAAAAGGCUGGACAAGUUUGCUGCUGAACAUACAAUCUUUGCCAGCAACACUUCCUCCUUGCAGAUUACAAGCAUAGCCAAUGCCACCACCAGACAAGACCGAUUCGCUGGCCUCCAUUUCUUCAACCCAGUGCCGGUCAUGAAACUUGUGGAGGUCAUUAAAACACCAAUGACCAGCCAGAAGACAUUUGAAUCUUUGGUAGACUUUAGCAAAGCCCUAGGAAAGCAUCCUGUUUCUUGCAAGGACACUCCUGGGUUUAUUGUGAACCGCCUCCUGGUUCCAUACCUCAUGGAAGCAAUCAGGCUGUAUGAACGAGGUAUCCUUCUGACCUAGGCCAGGAGCAGCAGGCCUCAGCUCCUGGCGCCACUGUCUGGAAUUCUCAGUGUCUCUAGGAGGGGUCGGGCCGUGCACAAUGGAGGAAGCAGUGUCUGUUUUCUAGCUUUGUGAGCUCAGCUGCACCCUGAGCCCUGGUACCUUUUUCACUGUUUUCCCAGGGCCUCCUGGCUUCCCUGUGAGGCCUCUGAGAAAGGUUUCUGGAACUCCCACCACCCCCACUACAGUCCCAGCCAGAGCAAUUGCAUGGCCGGCCCAGAUUGAUAUCCUGGAUCUCUGCUUUUGAUUAAAAGGUGACGCAUCCAAAGAAGACAUUGACACUGCUAUGAAAUUAGGAGCCGGUUACCCCAUGGGCCCAUUUGAGCUUCUAGAUUAUGUCGGACUGGAUACUACGAAGUUCAUCGUGGAUGGGUGGCAUGAAAUGGAUGCAGAGAACCCAUUACAUCAGCCCAGCCCAUCCUUAAAUAAGCUGGUAGCAGAGAACAAGUUCGGCAAGAAGACUGGAGAAGGAUUUUACAAAUACAAGUGAUGUGCAGCUUCUCCGGCUCUGAGAAGAACACCUGAGAGCGCUUUCCAGCCAGUGCCCCGAGUGCCUGUGGGAAUGCUCUUUGGUCAGACAUUCCCUCACACAGCACAGUUUAAUAAAUGUGCAUUUUGAUUGUAAUCUAUCGAAGUGAUUAUUACACCAGUUACAGCAGUAAUAGAUUCUCCAUUAAGAAAUAAUUCCCUUUUUUAGUCUGUUCAUUUCUGUGUAUUUUCUAAACAGCUUUACACCCUUGGUGCCUUGGAGCAAACAUGUUUUUUGAACCUUGUCAUUUUUGUGAAGAAUUGCCUGGAUUCCUUCUCUCAUCAACGGGAAAGUACUUCCUCUGAGAGUGCGAGUGCACCAUGCUCACUGUUGCUGCGUGGGAGAGUCACAAGCCACUGGCAAGCAAGUGGUAUAGUCUGUGAAGCACUGCAGCGAGCAGCACCUGGAUCUUGCCUUUAUGAGAACAUUUUACUACCUGCAGCUUUGAGUCUUGCCCUACAUUUUGGGCAUGACAUAAGAUGUGUCUUUAUUCAGCUCAUCGUGAAGAUGCUGCUGCAGAAUGGGUCAGCAUAUCUCUGUUUGCAUGGUUUGCAGGAGGUCGGUUUUCAUGGUCAUUCAGUUCCACAGAUCUGAAUGAUUACUGUCUGUCUGUGUCUUUUUUCCAUGAGAAAUCACUGUUGCAAAUUGCCUAUAAAUUGACUCUACUAAACUAACAAUGUUUCAGUCUGAAAAUUUGAAUUGAAAAAAAUGUAUAAUAUAAAAU